rnacentral:rRNA from 1 species
AUUGAACGCCGGCGGAAUGCUUUACACAUGCAAGUCGAACGGCAGCACGGGGGCAGCCCUGGUGGCGAGUGGCGAACGGGUGAGUAAUACAUCGGAACGUGCCCGGUCGUGGGGGAUAACGUAGCGAAAGUUACGCUAAUACCGCAUACGAUCUGAGGAUGAAAGCGGGGGACCUUCGGGCCUCGCGCGAUCGGAGCGGCCGAUGUCAGAUUAGGUAGUUGGUGGGGUAAAGGCCUACCAAGCCGACGAUCUGUAGCUGGUCUGAGAGGACGACCAGCCACACUGGGACUGAGACACGGCCCAGACUCCUACGGGAGGCAGCAGUGGGGAAUUUUGGACAAUGGGCGCAAGCCUGAUCCAGCCAUUCCGCGUGCAGGACGAAGGCCUUCGGGUUGUAAACUGCUUUUGUACGGAACGAAAAGGCUCUGGCUAAUACCUGGGGCUCAUGACGGUACCGUAAGAAUAAGCACCGGCUAACUACGUG